GACGAACGCUGGCGGCGUGCUUAACACAUGCAAGUCGAACGGAAAGGCCCUGCUUUUGUGGGGUGCUCGAGUGGCGAACGGGUGAGUAACACGUGAGUAACCUGCCCUUGACUUUGGGAUAACUUCAGGAAACUGGGGCUAAUACCGGAUAGGAGCUCCUGCUGCAUGGUGGGGGUUGGAAAGUUUCGGCGGUUGGGGAUGGACUCGCGGGUUAUCAGCUUGUUGGUGGGGUAGUGGCUUACAAAGGCUUUGACGGGUAGCCGGCCUGAGAGGGUGACCGGCCACAUUGGGACUGAGAUACGGACCAGACUCCUACGGGAGGCAGCAGUGGGGAAUAUUGCACAAUGGGCGGAAGUCUGAUGCAGCAGCGCCGCGUGCGGGAUGACGGCCUUCGGGUUGUAAACCGCUUUCGCCUGUGACGAAGCGUGAGUGACGGUAAUGGGUAAAGAAGCACCGGCUAACUACGUG
rnacentral:rRNA from 1 species